rnacentral:lncRNA from 13 species
AGAAAUAAAAGUAACAAGUAAUUAAAGAGCAGCAGUAAAAUAACAACAGCGAGACUAUAUACAGGGUGGUGCCGGUACAGAGUCAAUGUGCGGGGGCAUUGGUUAGUUGAGGUAAUAUGUACAUGUAGGUAGAGUUAUUAAAGUGACUAUGCAUAGAUGAUAACAACAGAGUAGCAGUGGUGUAAAAAGGGGGGAGGUAAUGCAAAUAGCCUGGGUAGCCAUUUGAUUAGGUGUUCAGGAGUCUUAUAGCUUGGGGGUAGAAGCUGUUUAGAAGCCUCUUGGACCUAAACUUGGCACUCCAAUACUGCUUGCCGUGCGGUAGCAGAGAGAACAGUCUAUGACUAGGGUGGCUGGAGUCUUUGACAGUUUUUAGAACCUUCCUCUGACACCGCCUGAUAUAGACAUCCUGGAUAGCAGGAAGCGUGGCCCCAGUGAUGUACUGGGCCAUUCUGUUACGGUGCGUGAAUGAGGACCCAAAAGCGAAUUAACGUAAACAGAGCUUCUUUAAUAACAAAACAAACGUAGGCUCAGAUGGACCGGCAGAUUCCGACAGGACAGGACAAGGUUGCAGCAAACAUGACGAUAGUCUGGUUCAGGCAUGAAUAACACAAACAAGAAUCCGACAAAGACAGAAACAAAAACAGAGAGAGAUAUAGAGGACUAAUCAGAGGGAAAAAGGGAACAGGUGGGAAAAGGGGUGACGAGGUAGUUAGGAGGAGACAAGGAACAGCUGGGGGAAAGAGGGGGAGAAAAGGUAACCUAAUAACGACCAGCAGAGGGAGACAAGGUUGCAGCAAACAUGACGAUAGUCUGGUUCAGGCAUGAAUAACACAAACAAGAAUCCGACAAAGACAGAAACAAAAACAGAGAGAGAUAUAGAGGACUAAUCAGAGGGAAAAAGGGAACAGGUGGGAAAAGGGGUGACGAGGUAGUUAGGAGGAGACAAGGAACAGCUGGGGGAAAGAGGGGGAGAAAAGGUAACCUAAUAACGACCAGCAGAGGGAGACAGGGUGAAGGGAAAGGACAGAAACAAGACACAACAUGACAAUACAUGACACAUUCGUACUACCCUCUCUAGUGUCUUGCGGUCGGAGGCCGAGCAGGUGCCAUACCAUGCAGUGAUGCAACCAGUGCUCUCGAUGGUGCAGCUGUAGAACC